rnacentral:rRNA from 1 species
CCUACGGGAGGCAGCAGUGAGGAAUAUUGGUCAAUGGACGAGAGUCUGACCCAGCCAAGUCGCGUGAAGGAUGACUGCCCUAUGGGUUGUAAACUUCUUUUCUAUGGGAAUAAAACAGGGUAUGCAUACCCUCUUGUAUGUACCAUAUUAAUUAGCAUCGGCUAACUCAGUGCCAGCAGCCGAGGGAAUACGGGGUGUCCGAGCGUUAUCCGGAUUUAUUGGGUGUAAAGGGAGUGUAGGUGGAAUGGUAAGUCAAUUGGGAAAGUUUUGCGGUAAACCCGAAAAUUGUAGUUGAAUCUGGCAGUCUGGAGUACAGUAGAGGAUGGCGGAAUUCGUGGUGUAGCGGUGAAAUGCAUAGAUAUCACGAAGAACUCCGAUUGCGAAGGCAGCUCACUGGACUGCAACUGACACUGAUGCUCGAAAGUGUGGGUAGCAAACAGGAUUAGAUACCCUUGUAGUC